GGAGAGGUGGCUGAGUGGUCGAAGGCGGCGGUCUCGAAAACCGUUGACCGGCUUGCCGGUCCGGGGGUUCGAAUCCCCCCCUCUCCGCCA
rnacentral:tRNA from 1 species